UAUGAAACUAUGAAUUGGUUUUUAUGAAAAGCUAGUUGAGCAAAAUUAGCGGUUUGGAUUCGACAUCUGAAUAGAAUUUUAGUUAAACUUGCUCCCACACUACUUAUGCCCAAAGUUUUACCGAAGUUGACAGUUUAAUCAACAAUUCCUGAAUUUGCUUAUACUUGGUGUAUCCUUUCUAAAAAAAAACUAGAAGAUUUUUGUUACUGUACUUGAAAAUACCUAUUAUAAUCUGUGGCUACAACAUCACAAGGUCAGAGUCUAUACCCAUUGUUCUUGGCUACAAAAGAUCAAGUCCAGAAGGAGCUAUCCAUAACCAAUAUUACAAGGCAUGCAAACAUAUUUUGAGAGUACAUCAUGACUUGUUAGGCAAGUAGUAAGAAAGACGGAUAUAAAAAAAUAGCCUACAGCACCCCGGAUUCCCAUGUUGUCUCCAACCAUAGUACUAACGAGGCCCUCAGACGCUUAACUGCAGUGAUCGGACGGGAACUGGUGUUUUCGCCUAGGUAUGGCCGUAGACAUUAAA